UACAGAGGGGGCAAGCGUUGUUCGGAAUUACUGGGCGUAAAGGGCUUGUAGGUGGCCAACUAAGUCAGACGUGAAAUCCCUCGGCUUAACCGGGGAACUGCGUCUGAUACUGGAUGGCUUGAGUGUGGGAGAGGGAUGCGGAAUUCCAGGUGUAGCGGUGAAAUGCGUAGAUAUCUGGAGGAACACCGGUGGCGAAGGCGGCAUCCUGGACCAUUACUGACACUGAAAAGCGAAAGCCAGGGGAGCAAACGGG
rnacentral:rRNA from 1 species